UAAUAGAUGAGGGGAGAGGAGGAGAAAAAAGAACUACAACCAGACAAAGCUCCUAGAAGACUGAAAUGGAUGAUGGUUGCAGCAUGCAAAAAGAAAAUGAUAUCUGUUGACUACAGCAUAUGCUUUCUCACAGAUUACCUUGUGGGAGUAGCUGGACCAAACUCUAUUGGUAUUUCAAGUUUGAAAUCCCUGUUUGACCAGACAAACAUUUCAGAUGAGGUAAUAGAUGGCCUAAUCUAUUUGCACUGUGAGAAUUUCCCUCACAUUUAUCCAAUACCAAGCCAAAUCACUGGAAAAAUUUUGGAUGGGUCCACAAGAGCACAAAGUGCAUACUUUUUGAAGAAAAACAUCUUUCAGAUGUAUGAGAAAUUGAUUGGAGCCUGUCUGGAAAACGGCAGCCACUGGACCUUGUUUGUGCAGUGCCAGAAAUGUGGUGCAUACAAGCACAUGCGUUGUUCAAAGUCUGUUUGUGGCAUCUGUAUCUUCUGUGAGAGGCCGUAAAGCCAAACUGCCCGCAAUGAUUCUUGACAGGCCUAAGAAGGCCAAAACUAAAGUAACAGUGUUUAGUGUUCUGAGUGAAGAGGAGGCUGGGGAGCUAGCCCUCGGGUUUGCCGGAAGAUUGGCCUGCGAUGUCACAAGAGACAUGGUCUGUAAAGGCAUCGACCAUUCAAGUGCUGAUAUGACAAA
ensembl:lncRNA